AACUGAGGUUAAUAUCUGAUAGGAGAUUUAUACUGGAAAGAUUAAUCUUUAAAAUUCGAGCCUAAGGAUGGGGCUGCGGUGGAUUAGGUUGUUGGCGGGGUAAUAGCCCACCAAGCCUUUGAUCCAUAGGGGCUCUUAGCGGAGAAGCCCCGAGAGGGAAUCUGAGACACUAUUCCCAGCCCUACGGGGUGCAGCAGUUAGGAAUAUUCUGCAAUGCGCGUAAGCGUGACAGAUUGAGUCAGAGUGCGCUUCAAUUUGGAGUGCUUUUGCUAAAUGUAAAAAGUUUGGCGAAUAAGGACUGGGUAAGACGAGUGCCAGCCGCCGCGGUAAUACUCGCGGUCCAAGUCGCAGCCAUUUUUAUUGGGUCUAAAACAUCCGUAGCUUGCUUGGUGAGUUCCUUGUGAAAUUCUAUAUCUCAAAUAUGGAGCGUGCAGGGAGUACUGCCAAGCUAGAGACUGGAAGACGUAACGAGUACGUUUGGAGUAGCGGUAAAAUGUGUUAAUCCCGGACGGACUAACAAUAGCGAAGGCACGUUACGAGGACAGUUCUGACAGUAAGGGAUGAAGGCUAGGGGCGCAAAACGGAUUAGAUACCCGUGUAGUCCUAGCAGUAAACACUGCACACUAAACAUUAGUACCUCCUCGAGAGGUAUUGGUGCUGAAGGGAAGCCGAAGAGUGUGCUACCUGGGAAGUAUAGUCGCAAGGCCGAAACUUAAAGGAAUU
rnacentral:rRNA from 1 species